GAUGAACGCUGGCGGCGUGCCUAAUACAUGCAAGUCGAGCGAACGGACGAGAAGCUUGCUUCUCUGAUGUUAGCGGCGGACGGGUGAGUAACACGUGGAAAACCUACCUAUAAGACUGGGAUAACUUCGGGAAACCGGAGCUAAUACCGGAUAAUAUCUUGAACCGCAUGGUUCGAAAGUGAAAGACGGUCUUGCUGUCACGUAUAGAUGGAUCUGCGCUGCAUUAGCUAGUUGGUAAGGUAACGGCCUAUCAAGGGCACGAUGCAUAACCGACCUACGAGGGUGAUCGGCCGCACUGGAACUGAGACACGGUCCAGGCUCCUGCGGGAGGCAGCAGUAGGCAAUCUUCCGCAGUGGGCGAAAGCCUGACGGAGCAGCGCCGCGUGUGUGGUAGAGGUCUUCGGAUCGUAAAACUCUGUUAUUAGGGGUGAACAUAUGUGUCAGGAGCUGUGCACUUCGUGACGGUACCUAGUCAGAAAGCAACGGCUAACUACGUG
rnacentral:rRNA from 1 species